UUUUUUUUUGUUGUUUGCUUAUUUUGAUGAAUCUAUGAGUAGUAUCGGAGGGUAUGAACCAUAUAUGAGUUGUAAUACAGUAGAUAUUACACCAAUAUGAAUUUAUAAUGAGUUCACAAGAGUACCUAAGUGGUGAUUUAUUUAUUUUUAUACUAACGGAGCUCACGAGAUUUUCUACUUUAAGUUCUGUGUUGUGAAGUUUUCAAGUUUUGGGUAAAGAUUUGAUGGAUUAUGGAACAAGGAGUGGCAAGAGCCUAAGCUUGGGGAUGCCCAUGGAACCCCCAAGAUAAUCUAAGGAAACCUAAAAGCCUAAGCUUGGGGAUGCCCUGGAAGGCAUCCCCUCUUUCGUCUACUUCCAUCGGUAAAUUUACUUGGAGCUAUAUUUUUAUUCACCACAUGAUAUGUGUUUUGCUUGGAGCGUCAAUUUAUUUUGUUAGGAUUUUCUUGCUGUUAUUUAGAACAAUGUUUUGUAUAUUUUAUUUCAAUAAAAGUGGCAUUGAUAGCCUUUACUAUGCCUAUUUUACAAGUCUUCAUGUUGCUGUUUGAAAACAGAAAGUUUACCGCUGUUGCAAUAAUUCCCUAGAAAAGUCAGUAUGUGAUAAAAUGUUGAAACCUUUUGCAUAUUAAGAUAUAAUAAAUUUACUACAAUGGGAAUUUUCUUUAAUAAUUUUUGGAGUUAGGGAAGUAUGGAUCUAACUGCACUCUUUAUAGACUGUCCUGUUUAGGCAGAUUGCUAUUAUGUUUGCAUUGUUUGCAUAUGUUUGCUUCUUUAAUGAUUCUAUUUGAGGAUAGGACUAUUAAAUAUGCAGAGGCAUUUAGUAUGCAAUGUUGAAUAAUAAUUUUAGUGAUUUUCUACAGUAGAGUAUGAUAAGUUUUUUGCAUUGGUUUAUACUAACUUAUCUCACGAGUCCUUGUUGAGUUUUGUGUGGAUGAAGCUUUUGAGAUUUAGGGAUACCGUGAUAUGAGAGGAAUUAAGGAGACACAAAAGCUCAAGAUUGGGGAUGCCAAGGCAUCCUAAGAUAAUAUUUCAAGAAGUCUCAAGCGUCUAAGCUUGGGGAUGCCCCGGUUGGCAUCCCACCUUUCUUCUUCAACAACUAUCGGUUAGUAUCGGUUGAUCCUAAGUUUUUGCUUCUUCACAUGAUGUUUGCUAUUCUUAGAAUGUCAUUUUCUUUUGCUUUUCUUGCUGCUUGAAUAAAAUACCCAAGAUCUGAAAUUCUUAAAUGUUAGAGAGUCUUCAUAUAGUUGCAUAAUUAUUCGACUACUUAUUGAUCUUCACUUAUAUCUUUCGGAGUAGUUUGUUAUUGCUCUAGUGCUUUACUUAUAUCUUUUUAGAGCACGGUGGUGGUUUUAUUUUGAAGAAAUAGAUGAACUCUCAUGCUUCACUUAUAUUAUUUUGAGAGUCCUAAACAUCAUGGAAAUUUGCUUUGGUUAUGAAUUUAGUCCUAAUAUGAUGGGCAUCCAAGAGGGAUAUAAUAAAAACUUUCAUAUAAAGUGCAUUGAAUACUAUGAGAAAUUUGAUACUUGAUGAUUGUUUUGAGAUAUGAAGAUGGUGAUAUUAGAGUCAUGCUAGUUGAGUAGUUGUGAAUUUUAGAUAUACUUGUGUUGAAGCUUGUGAUUCCCGUAGCAUGCACGUAUGGUGAACCGUUAUGUGAUGAAGUUGGAGCAUGAUUUAUUUAUUGAUUGUCUUCCUUAUGAAUGGUGGUCGGGGACGAGCGAUGGCCUUUUCCUACCAAUCUAUCCCCCUAGGAGCAUGCGCGUAGUACUUUGUUUCGAUAACUAAUAGAUUUUUGCAAUAAGUAUGUGAGUUCUUUAUGACUAAUGUUGAGUCCAUGGAUUAUAUGCACUCUCACCCUUCCACCAUUGCUAGCCUCUCUAGUACCGCGCAACUUUCGCCGGUACCAUAAACCCACCAUAUACCUUCCUCAAAACAGCCACCAUACCUACCUAUUAUGGCAUUUCCAUAGCCAUUCUGAGAUAUAUUGCCAUGCAACUUUCCACCGUUCCGUUUAUUAUGACACGCUCCAUCAUUGUCAUAUUGCUUUGCAUGAUCAUGUAGUUGACAUCGUAUUUGUGGCAAGGCCACCAUUCAUAAUUAUGUCAUACAUGUCACUCAUGAGUCAUUGCACAUCCCGGUACACCGCCGGAGGCAUUCAUAUAGAGUCAUAUCUUGUUCUAAGUAUCGAGUUGUAACUCUUGAGUUGUAAGAAAAUAAAAGUGUGAUGAUCAUCAUUAUUAGAGCAUUGUCCCAGUGAGGAAAGGAUGAUGGAGACUAUGAUUCCCCAUAAGUCGGGAUGAGACUCCGGACGAAAAAGAAGAGGCCAAAGAAGCCCAAAUAAAAAAGAGGCCAUAAAAAAAGAAGGCCCAAAUAAAAAAAUAAAAAAUAAAAAAAUGAGAGAAAAAGAGAGAAGGGGCAAUGCUACUAUCCUUUUACCACACUUGUGCUUCAAAGUAGCACCAUAAUCUUCAUGAUAGAGAGUCUCCUAUAUUCUCACUUUUAUGUACUAGUGAGAAUCUUUCAUUAUAGAACUUGGCUUGUAUAUUCCAAUGAUGGGCUUCCUCAAAAUGCCCUAGGUCUUCGUGAGCAAGCAAGUUGGAUGCACACCCACUUAGUUUCUUUUUGAGCUUUCAGACACUUAUAGCUCUAGUGCAUCCGUUGCAUGGCAAUCCCUACUCACUCACAUUGAUAUUUAUUGAUGGGCAUCUACAUAGCCCGUUGAUAUGCCUAGUUGAUGUGAGACUAUCUUAUCCUUUUUGUCUUCUCCACAACCACCAUUCUAUUCCACCUAUAGUGCUAUGUCCAUGGCUCACGCUCGUGUAUUGCGUGAAGAUUGAAAAAGUUUGAGAACAUAAAAAGUAUGAAACAAUUGCUUGGCUUGUCAUCGGGGUUGUGCAUGAUUUAAAUAUUUUGUGUGGUGAAGAUAGAGCAUAGCCAGACUAUAUGAUUUUGUAGGGAUAGCUUUCUUUGGCCAUGUUAUUUUGAGAAGACAUGAUUACUUGGUUAGUACGCUUGAAGUAUUAUUAUUUUUAUGUCAAUAUUAAACUUUUGUCUUGUAUCUUAUGGAUCUGAAUAUUCUUGCCAAAAUGAAGAGAAUUACUUAGAGAAAUAUGUUAGGUAGCAUUCCACAUCAAAAAUUCUGUUUUUAUCAUUUACCUACUCGAGGACGGGAAGGAAUUAAGCUUGGGGAUGCUGAUACGUCUCCAACGUAUCUAUAAUUUUUGAUUGUUCCAUGCUAUUAUAUUAUCAACCUUGGAUGUUUUAUAUGCAUUUAUAUUCUAUUUUAUAUGAUUUUUGGGACUAACCUAUUAACCCAGAGCCCAGUGCCAGUUUCUGUUUUUUCCUUAUUUUAGAGUAUCGCAGAAAAGGAAAAUCAAACGGAGUCCAAUUGACCUGAAACUUCAGGGAACUUAUUUUUGGAAUGGAAGCAACCCAGAAGAUUUUGAGUGUACGUAAGGGAAGCAACGAGGAAGGCACGAGGCGGGAGGGCGCGCCCACCCCCCUGGGCGCGCCCUUCGCCCUCGUGGGCCCCUCGUGGCUCCCCUGACGUACUUCUUCCGCCUAUAUAUCUCCAUAUACCCUAAAAUGAUCGGGGAGCACAAUAGAUCGGGAGUUCCAUCGCCAGAAGCCUCCGUAGCCACCGAAAACCAAUCUAGACCCGUUCCGGCACCCUGCCGGAGGGGGAAUCCCUCUCCGGUGGCCAUCUUCAUCAUCCCGGUGCUCUCCAUGACGAGGAGGGAGUAGUUCUCCCUCGGGGCUGAGGGUAUGUACCAGUAGCUAUGUGUUUGAUCUCUCUCUCUCUCUCGUGUUCUUGAUUUGGCACAAUCUUGAUGUAUCGCGAGCUUUGCUAUUAUAGUUGGAUCUUAUGUUUCUUCUCCCCCUCUAAUCUCUUGUAAUGGAUUGAGUUUUCCCUUUGAAGUUAUCUUAUCGGAUUGAGUCUUUAAAUAUUUGAGAACACUUUAUGUAUGUCUUGUCGUGCGUAUCUGUGGUGACAAUGGGAUAUCACGUGAUUCACUUGAUGUAUGUUUUGGUGAUCAACUUGCGGGUUCCGCCCAUGAACCUAUGCAUAGGGGUUGGCACACGUUUUCGUCGUGAUUCUCCAGUAGAAAAUUUGGGGCACUCUUUGAGGUUCUAUGUGUUGGUUGAAUAGAUGAAUCUGAGAUUGUGUGAUGCAUAUCGUAUAAUCAUACCCACGGAUAUUUGCGGUGACAUUGGAGUAUCUAGGUGACAUUAGGGUUUGGUUGAUUUGUGUCUUAAGGUGUUAUUCUAGUACGAACUCUAGGCCUGUUUGUGACACUUAUAGGAAUAGCCCAACGGAUUGAUUGGAAAGAAUAAAUUUGAGGUGGUUUCAUACCCUACCAUAAUCUCUUCGUUCGUUCUUCGCUAUUAGUGACUUUGAAGUGACUCUUUGUUGCAUGUUGAGGGAUAGUUAUGUGAUCCAAUUAUGUUAUUAUUGUUGAGAGAACUUGCACUAGUGAAAGUAUGAACCCUAGGCCUUGUUUCAACGCAUUGCAAUACCGUUUACGCUCACUUUUAUCAUUGGUUACCUUGCUGUUUUUAUAUUUUCAGAUUACAAAAACCUUUAUCUACCAUCCAUAUACCACUUGUAUCACCAUCUCUUCGCCGAACUAGUGCACCUAUACAAUUUACCAUUGUAUUGGGUGUGUUGGGGACACAAGAGACUCUUUGUUAUUUGGUUGCAGGGUUGCUUGAGAGAGACCAUCUUCAUCCUACGCCUCCUACAGAUUGAUAAACCUUAGGCCAUCCACUUGAGGGAAAUUUGCUACUGUCCUACAAACCUCUGCACUUGGAGGCCCAACAACGUCUACAAGAAGAAGGUUGUGUAGUAGACAUCAGAGUUGCAUAAUCUCAUAGUCAUAGGAACAUGUAUAAGUCAUGAAGAAAGCAAUAACAACAAACUAAACGAUCAUAGUGCUAAGCUAAUGGAUGUGUCUUGUCCAUCACAUCAUUCUCUAAUGAUGUGAUCCCGUUGAUCAAAUGACAACAUAUGUCUAUGUCUAGGAAACUUAACCAUCUUUGAUUAACGAGCUAGUCAAGUAGAGGCAUACUAGGGACACUCUGUUUGCCUAUGUAUUCAUACAUGUAUCAAGUUUCAUGUUAAUACAAUUCUUGCAUGAAUAAUAAACAUUUAUCAUGAUAUAAAGAAAUAUAAAUAACAACUUUAGUAUUGCCUCUAGGGCGUAUUUCCUUCAAAUCGUGUGUAAUUCAAACUACAGUACUCAAAAUUUCGGCGACCGACGUGUGUACUGUUCUCGUCAAUCUAGAUUCCGGUCGCCAAUAAAUACUACCUUGCUCAUGUCGUCCCGCCUGUAUUCUCAUCUACAUCCUUCCCUCGCUCACCCUCUCUCUCUCUCUCAAAUCUCUGCCAUGGAGUCGCCGGUCUGCCCACGCGCCGACGAGGAGUCGCCGUCCCCCGAGGACGCUCACUCGAAGAGCAGCGACGAGGACCCCUACGCGCCACUGGACGAGGUUGCGCUAGACCCACCAACUUUGGAUUGGUUUUGGGGCCAGUACAAUCUUUGUUUGUGGAAGUCGCUGCCGCCGGCUGAGAAAGCCAGGCAAGUGGCGUUCAAGAAGGAGAUGGCGGAGGAGGAAGCCAGGUACCAGGAGGCCUGUGAAACCCGUGAUGCCACCUAGAAAAAGGAGGCGGUGGAGCUUUCGGGGCGGGCGCGUCGUCGUGCGGAGGAGGUAUACGAAGACGGGUACUUCGCGAGGAAUGUCAAAGGCGCUAGGCGCCUCAUCGCUGCGUGGAGGUGGGGCCGAUAAGCUCCAGUGUGCGACCAAUGAGGAGCUCCGGUGGGCGCCCAAUGAAAUGGCAAGAUCAUUCGCGCUCGUCCGCCAGCAAGAGGCAGAUCGGUAUGUCAAGCGCUGCAAGGCGGAGGAGGCGGGGUACUGCAUCCGCACUGGGAAGACUCUGCGCACCAGGGAGCUCCUGGCGAGGGGCUGCCGAAAUACUGCCCCCAGAAGGGAUUAUUAGUUUUAGUAUUGUUCGUUAUCAAUUCUAUGCAUUGUACCUAGUAGUUAAGUGUCAUCACAUAUAUGUGAUGAUAUUAUAUAUAUUCUGUGAUGAACUAAUGAACAAUUAAUAUAUAUAUAUAAUGAAUUCCAUUUUCUAUCUGUUUUUUAUACUAAUUUGAAUCUAGUUGUUAUCAUCCACAUAUACAGAAUGAAAAGCGUAUAUACACACAUUGAAACAGAACAUAUAAGAAUGGAAACAGAGUACACACAUUAAAAUAGAGCAAUAAAUGGAGCAAUACUAUGAUUGCUUUGAAUACAUUGCUAUCCACAUCGAAACGACUCAACAAAAUAAAACGCGUCCAUGAGACCAUGACCAGAAGCCCUUGCCUACGGUAGCUCUUGGCUCUGCCUGAACUCGUGCAGGCAUUCGUCCAAGCGGUCGACACGCUCGCGGUACAUUUGGAGCGCGACCUCGAGCUCCAAGUUGUCGAUUUCAUCGGAGAUCACCAGCUCGAGGAUGCGACGGCCAUGUUCCUCUAAUGCGCCCAGGUGGACACCUGGGCCAAGGAGGCGGUCGAGCCUACCGACCAGCGCGUUGGCAUCGGCGCGACCCAUGCGAACGGCACAGUGGGCGUCCGGUGCAAGUACAGCGCGGCCGGCCUAUGGUUCAAGUACGGCGCAGAGGGCCUCUGCCCACUCCUAGCGAUGAAUGGGGGUACUGACGGGACGUGUACCCAGCUGCGACGCCCUAUCGACAACAGGCAAGCGCCGAUAGAUCCGCUCUUGCUGUGCGGCGCACCACACCUCUCGCUCUGCGGCGCUCUAACGGUAUCGUCGUGCGGCGAGCUGCAACCUAUCGGCAUGGAUGCGCCUAGCUUGCUCUGCGGCGCGCCAUCGAUCAUGUUGUGCGGCGAUCUGCAGCCGUUGAGCGCUGACAUGCCUAUCUUGAUCUGCGGCGCUGAAGCACCAUGCGCCAAGGGUCUGCUCAACCCUGGCGAUGACACGCAUCACAGCAUCGUCCAUCGCGUUGUCGUGGCGCGCCUCGGCCUCAACGGGCCGUGGCGCCUUCUCAUUUUCCUCGUCGACGAGGUUGAUGACAGAGGUGGCGCUUUGGUGGGUUGGCAUGCUUGGAAAAGGUGGAUGUGCUACAGGCUGCGCUCGUUGCCUCCAUGUGUCGCACGCUGCCUAGGUUUAUGCGUAAUAUUGCUGGGUGGCAGAAAACAGGCGAGGAAAUAACAAGAAACAGUGGUGUGUUCAUAAAACGCCAUCAAUUAAUGGAAACUUAGCAUAUAAGGAACAUCGAGCUAACACAAGAAUGAGAUGAGGAUCAGAUGAAUACAUGCCACACUAGGGAACCCGUUGGUGAUGAAUUCAUCAAUUGCAAACGGUUGUAUACUAGCAAGCGUUUGCCCACAACACACAUGGCUUAUUCCAUCACAAACAGGUCGGAUAGAUCAACUGUAUGCCACGUAUUGCACAUUGUCAAAAAGUAUUGUAGUAGACCUUCUUUAACAUGUGUUAAAAAAGCAAGGACCUCGAGGUUAACUUAACUGAUGGGAUGGAUCAUAGAUGUCAUUUAAUUUGAUCUCUAUGACUCAUCCCAUCAAUUAAUUUAACAUCAAGACAACUUCCCAUCCAGUUACCCAUCUGAAAGCGGCUUUAGCCUGAGCACAGUUAACUUGAGAGUUCUCUUAGACGAGAUAUUGGUGGAACAGCUAGUCCUUGCUCAUAUAGGAUGCCUCUUCGCAUCAUUAUGGCAUAUCCGGAUGACCGCCCAUCGCCCAAUGGCCAAUAGAUGUUGCAUAGACAGAGCAUAUCACAUACGUCUUAUUAGAAGCAAUCGUCUGUGUUAUUAUCGGUCUUCGCACACAUUUCUGAUUACAGACCUGUUUGUCGCUUAUCACACACAUCUUGAUAUAUUAAACUGUUUCUGUUAUCUUGGCUCAACGCAAACAGUUUAUUCGAGUGAACUAUUUGCCCUCUAUCGCACACACUUUGAUCUAACUGACCGUUUCUUUUGUUUUGCCUAAUCAUAAAUAGUUCAUCCGAAUGAACCGUAUGUCGUAUCGCACACACCUUCAUCUGGCUGCCCGUUUCUAUUCUUCUGCCUCAUCACAAACAGUUCAUUGAACUAAAUCAUAUGCCCUGCAUCGCACACGCAACUAAAAUAUGAACCGUGUUUGAUGCAUCUGUCAUCGCAAACGUUUUGCGCCUUUUUGGCGGGUUUUUACAUCACCUUUUGCGACUAUUGCAUCGCACACAGUUUCGUCGAAGGGUCUCUGAUCGUAGUGUCGUGUUAGCAGCAUCCUGCAGUAGUGUGUGUGAGUAGUUCCUUAGGACCUACGGGUCCAUAGUAGUAUCUAGAUGGCUUUCUCUUUGUUUUUUUUAUUUUCAAUACAAUGAUCUUCUCUAAGAUCAAUCUGAUGUAAUCUUUUGCGGUGUGUUUGUUGGUAUCUGGUGAAUUGUGGGUUUAUGAUCUGAUUAUUUAUUGGAUUUAUUUGAGUCUCUUGUGAUCUCUUUGCUGCGUAAUUUUAUAGCUUUGUAUUUCUCUCUAAUCUAUCUGUCUACUUUGGCCAAAUUAGAUUGAUUUAUCUUCAGCAGGAGAGGUGCUUUGUGGUAGGUUUAAUCUUGUUGUGAUCUUGCCUUAUGACAUGAGGGGCAAAGGCACGUAUUGUAUUGUUGCUACUAUGGAUAAAACGACGGGGUUUGGUCAUAUUGAUUUAUCUUAUUUUUUCUACAUUAUGUCAUCUUGCUUAAAGUGUUACUCUGUUUGUCAUGAACUUAAUACUUUGAGACGCAUGCUGGAUAGUUGUCUUGGUGUGGGAGUAAUAGUAGUAGAUGCACUUGGAUUAGCUGUCUACUUGUCACGGACGUAAUGCCUAUGUAAUGAUUAUGACAUGGAUGAUCAUCAUAACUAUGCUCAAUUCUAUCAAUUGCCUGACAGUAAUUUGUUUACCCACCAUUACUAUGCUUUCGAGAGAGGCCUAAUGAACCUGUGGCCCCUCGGUCCAUUCUCCAUAAUACUAAGAAUCCUACAAUUGCUUUGUUUGCUCUCUUUAUUUUCUUCUUACUUUUUAUUUACUUUAUCUAUCACUAUCAGUUUUAAUCUUGCAACUGGCGAGAACAAGGGGAGUGACGACCCCUUACUUUUCUUGGGUGCAAGCAAUUGAUGUGUUUGUGUGUAGGUACUGUCUACAUUGCUGGUGUGGUGCCUCCUACUGAUUUGAUAAACAUUGUUUCUUAAUUGAGGGGAAAUACCAUCUGCUACUAUACUGCUUCACUCUUUCUCUUCUGGGAAACCCAACAACUCCAUCGUGAGUACCAGGCGGCGUGCUGGACGACGAGCUGGGCCUCCGGGGUGGGUUGGGCCAAAGCAGCGUCCAAGGGGGUGAGCGCUUGGUCGAAAGGAUGCCUGGCUCGAGCCUGCGGUAGCUUUAAUCUAGAUCUUCUAUUGUUGGGUACGCACACGUGGCUACAUGCACAGUCUACAACAGGUGUUGGGUUCUGCUGUUAGGAUCGAUCUCGGCGAGAUCACACAAGUCGAGGGCCUCUGGUGUUGCGCGUCUUCGCUUUCCAUUUGCCUCACCGUUCCAAUACCUUUGUCACAUCUCAUGCACAGUCUCAAACUUGUCGCCUCUGAACGUGAUAUGAUCUUCUCUCCUGCUUCCAAGCGAACCAUACAAGAUUGGCACCGUUCCUCUAGAUCAACAAUCUGCGACCUCCUUGAAACUUGCUCAUGAUACCACUUGUUAGAAUAAUUUGAGGCGAUCCACUGAUGACUAAGCAAUCACACGAGGCACGACAGUGAGAUUUGCUAACAAGGUUCACCGAACAUCGGCUACAUCCCUGAGCCUGACUAUGGAUGCUCAUCUCCAUGAUACCGCUACAAUACCACACACCAGCUCCCCUGCAUGUAUGUCCUGUUAUGUUGGCAUAGGUUGUUACUUCGUGUGUCUAUAAGAUACAAAAGUCCUACUAUGACACCACAACAUACUCUGUCUACACACCAUACGACGCAGAGUCUAACUAUAACCUACCUUGUACACAAUAUUCAGCACAACUCUAACACCAGCCGACGACACCCGCACCGAGCGACCCCUCCGGGUAGCAGCCACUACCACGCCACACGGCCAAAGAAGCUCCUCAAAGCCAGCCGAGCUUCGGCGGCGGCACCUCUGGUGACGGCGGGAGGAGAAAGGGGAGGGGUGGAAGAGGAGGCGUCGCUGGUUUCUCCUCAAGCCGUGAGAGGGGGCGACACGAGUUGUUUUGCACUUUUAUUGUUACUCUCUGUGAAGAAAUAUAAGAUCGUUUAGAUCAUUAACUGGUCUAAGUAGUGAUUUAAACAAUUUUAUAUUCCUUCACAGAGGGAGUACUUAUUUAGUUUUUGGACUCUAUGUUGUUCUUUCUAUAGCACAGGACGAUCUUCACCAUGUGAAAGAUACUAUAGAUGAUGAAAAACGCAUGGGAUGAAGGAGUUGCCACACCGGCGCGGCGGUACGUCCCGCUGAAACAAAGAUGCAUACACAUACAUUGUACUACACCACAUGAUCAAAUCACGAAGGGAGCAUUAAUUGAUCCACUACAUGGAGCGCGCGAUGCGAAUGCAGAACAGCUAUGGACGGAAAAGGAAGGUUCUAGCCGAUGAUCUGGUCGAGGACGCCGGUGUUCUUGAGGCCGAGCACGAUGCCGACGCCCAAGAUGUGGCCGAAGGAGCCGCAUGCGAGCGUGUCGGCGAGCGUGAAGCCGGCCGGGUCGCCCGUCUGCAGCCCGGACUCGCGCGCCUCCAACUUGAGCCCCGCCGUAGCCUUCCUGUUCGCCGACGGCGCCAGCCCGAACCGCCCGGCGAACAGCAUCAGGGUCGUCGUCGUCACCAUGAUCUGCAUCCGCGUAUAGUAGUAAUUAUUUUAACCAAAUAAACAAUCAAUGCCUGACCCAUUCGCAUGUAUACGUAGUACUAUGUGUGUGAUCUUACGAUGUUGGUGGAGGAGCCGAUGUAGUCGCAGCGGAUGCCCUGGGACCUCUUCCUCAAGGACGGCAGCGUGGCUAUGGACCUGGGCGAGGAGUAGCUCCUGAGGCCGUGGAACUGCGGCACGGAGGUCAUGGCGGAGAGCUGGGAGGCCAUGGCUGCGGAUUUGUGUGCUGUGGAUGCUGCGAUUGCUCAGGUGCAAUGCUCAACGAGCUCCUUUCUUAAAUCUUGUGGAGCCGGAGCCACACGGGGGAUCGCGUGGCGAGCGGCGGCCACUCGAGGAUAGGUUUCGGAUCCUUGCCACCGACGUGGCGCCCCCUGGUUAGGGAGUGCCUGCCAGUUCGGAUAAGAUACACCACCGUGUCUAGCUCCUCUCCGUCUGUCGCUAUUCUUUUGCUGACGGCAUCACCGGCAUGAAACGGUUCAGUAAAAUAAUUAGCUCUUUUCGUUACUGUUAAAUAAAUAAAUAACUACUUCCUCCGAUCCUUUUUAGUCUGUAUAUAAGUUUUAUUCAAAGUCAAAGCAUGUCUAUUUUAACUAAAUUUAUAGAAAAAAGUAUCAACAUUCACAAUGUCAAAUUAAUAUUAUUGGAUUCAUUAUGAAAUGUAGUUUCAUGGUAUAUAUAUUUGGUAUUGUAGAUGUUGUUAUUUUUUAAUAUAAAUUUAGUCAAAGUUUACAAAAUUUGACUUGACACAACUCUAAUAUGCGGAGUAAAAAGGACCGAAGGGAGUAUAUUUGCAACCUGCAAAUUCAAAACAAAAAAAACUUGGUUUUACGUGGCACACACGAAUUUGCCAAUGAAAAUAAAGUGUGUGAUGCGUCUUCCAAGUCGUAAUGUCACAUACACCAUGACGGUAGUACCUCAGAGCACACCGAAUACCAAUCCUGACAUCACUACGAUAAAGAGGAAUGAUUGAUCAUCAACAAUAUGACCUGAUAUUAUGACGGCAUGGCAUGCGCAAGCUGUAUUUGAAUACAACACCACUCUCUCACACUCUGAAAACCCUAUAUACAUUUCAUGAGACAUGUAAAAAAAACAGAGUCACAAGGGCCACUAGCUCUUGUGUGUUGGUUCUUUAGAAGAACAAAAGGAUCAAACAAGCUGACACGCUACAAAUCCUACAAAAUACACACUACAAACCAACAAAUUGCAACACCGGUAUUGAACAACAUACGUUCCUGAUUGACGUACAUUCUCAGAUAUAUCAUGUUUUCA
rnacentral:lncRNA from 1 species